UACAGAGGGGGCAAGCGUUGUUCGGAAUUACUGGGCGUAAAGGGCGCGUAGGCGGCCUUCUAAGUCGAACGUGAAAUCCCCGGGCUCAACCCGGGAACUGCGUCCGAUACUGGAAGGCUUGAAUCCGGGAGAGGGAGUGCGGAAUUCCAGGUGUAGCGGUGAAAUGCGUUGAUAUCGACAGGAACGCCGGUGGCGAAAGCGGACCGCUGGCCCUCUUCUGACGCUGAGGCGCGAAAGCCAGGGGAGCGAACGGGAUUAG
rnacentral:rRNA from 1 species